UACGAAGGGGGCUAGCGUUGCUCGGAAUCACUGGGCGUAAAGGGCGUGUAGGUGGUUUCGUAAGUCUGGCGUGAAAUUUUUCGGCUUAACCGGGAAAGGUCGUCGGAUACUGCGGAGCUAGAGGACGGUAGAGGCGUGUGGAAUUCCGGGUGUAGUGGUGAAAUGCGUAGAGAUCCGGAGGAACACCAGUGGCGAAGGCGACACGCUGGGCCGUACCUGACACUGAUGCGCGACAGCAUGGGGAGCAAACAGG
rnacentral:rRNA from 1 species